rnacentral:piRNA from 1 species
UGCCUGCACGCUGCCACUCUUCCUG